rnacentral:tRNA from 1 species
GCCGAGUGGUCUAAGGCGCUGGCUUAAGGCGCCAGUCCGAAAGGGCGUGGGUUCGAACCCCAC